UGGGGAAUUUUGGACAAUGGGGGAAACCCUGAUCCAGCCAUCCCGCGUGUGCGAUGAAGGCCUUCGGGUUGUAAAGCACUUUUGGCAGGAAAGAAACGUCGCGGGUUAAUACCCCGCGAAACUGACGGUACCUGCAGAAUAAGCACCGGCUAACUACGUGCCAGCAGCCGCGGUAAUACGUAGGGUGCAAGCGUUAAUCGGAAUUACUGGGCGUAAAGCGUGCGCAGGCGGUUCGGAAAGAAAGAUGUGAAAUCCCAGAGCUUAACUUUGGAACUGCAUUUUUAACUACCGGGCUAGAGUGUGUCAGAGGGAGGUGGAAUUCCGCGUGUAGCAGUGAAAUGCGUAGAUAUGCGGAGGAACACCGAUGGCGAAGGCAGCCUCCUGGGAUAACACUGACGCUCAUGCACGAAAGCGUGGGGAGCAAACAGGAUUAGAUACCCUGGUAGUCCACGCCCUAAACGAUGUCAACUAGCUGUUGGGGCCUUCGGGCCUUGGUAGCGCAGCUAACGCGUGAAGUUGACCGCCUGGGGAGUACGGUCGCAAGAUUAAAA
rnacentral:rRNA from 1 species